UACGUAGGGUGCGAGCGUUAAUCGGAUUUACUGGGCGUAAAGCGUGCGUAGGCGGUUUGUUAAGUCAGUUGUGAAAGCCCCGGGCUCAACCUGGGAACUGCAAUGGAAACUGCCGGGCUUGAGUAUGGCAGAGGGGGGUGGAAUUCCGCGUGUAGCAGUGAAAUGCGUAGAGAUGCGGAGGAACACCGAUGGCGAAGGCAGCCCCCUGGGCCAAUACUGACGCUCAUGCACGAAAGCGUGGGGAGCAAACAGG
rnacentral:rRNA from 1 species